AAAUACCGGCGUUGUCAAGAGAUACCAAAAUGGUUGUCCAAGCACCAGGAAAGACCUGCAUACAGGGUAAAGAAAAGUUAUUCUAGAGCAUAUACACUCCUUCUUUUGGUCAUGAAAAGCUAUUCUUGCAUACAAAUUAAAUUCAUGUUUCAUUUUACUUGCAAUUACAUGUCCUUUCAAGUUGGAACAACUAACCAGAAAGUGCUUCAUAUCAUGUAUAGAAAAAGUGCUUUGGUAUAUUGGAUGCAAAGCUUCUACAAAGAGAGGCCAAGAAAAAGCCAGCACAGUAUAUUAUUUUUAAAUAGAAAAGUAAAGAUAGGAUAGACAUUUUAAAUAUUCAUGGGGUUUAAAAGGGAAUUCUUAUUAAUGAUUCCAGAUCCAUGAGAAGCUGAAAAGAUAAAGUAAUGUGGUCAAAUCAAAAGAAAAACUAUAAAUGAUCAAGUACGACACAAUUAUGGUGUUCACUAUUUCAAAGUACAAAUUGAAAUGAACACUAGCAUUCUGAAAAUGGUUUUCAUGAAAUUGGUGUUCACUAGUUUAAAACUAUGUUAGAGCUGAUCUCAAAAUACAAACAUUUUCUGUAGAGGAGGAAAGUAGCAUUCUGAAGUUGCAUGCUUGGUUUAGCAGAAGCUUCAUAAGAAUUUGAAGGUAAAUUCAGAAGUUCUACAAUUAAAUGAAGACAACAAGGGUAGCAGCGAAUAAGGUGAGUUAUAUAUACUACCAUAAUUGCUGGUUAUAGUUUGAAACCUGUGUCAAGCUUUUCAAUGACCAUAGGAUGAAUGGGG
rnacentral:lncRNA from 1 species